AUGACUCUCGGCAACGGAUAUCUCGGCUCUCGCAUCGAUGAAGAACGUAGCGAAAUGCGAUACCUGGUGUGAAUUGCAGAAUCCCGCGAACCAUCGAGUCUUUGAACGCAAGUUGCGCCCGAGGCCAUUCGGCCGAGGGCACGCCUGCUUGGGCGUCACGC
rnacentral:rRNA from 1 species